UACAGGGGGUGCAAACGUUGCUCGGAAUCAUUGGGCGUAAAGCGCACGUAGGCGGUCUGUUAUGUCGGAUGUGAAAGCCCUUGGCUUAACUGAGGAAGUGCAUCCGAAACUGGCAGGCUAGAGUACUAAAGAGGGUCGCGGAAUUCCCGGUGUAGAGGUGAAAUUCGUAGAUAUCAGGAGGAACACCGGUGGCGAAGGCGGAUCUCUGGGCCAUUACUGACGCUGAGGAGCGAAAGCGUGGGGAGCGAACAGG
rnacentral:rRNA from 1 species